rnacentral:rRNA from 1 species
AAAAUAUUUUGAUGGAAUAUUUAUCUAAUAUUAACAUAAUUCAUAUUACUAUAUAUUUUAGUAUAUGAAAUUUUACUUUGAGAAAAUUAGAGCUGCUUAAAGCAGGCAUAUGCCUUGAAUACUCCAGCAUGGAAUAAUAUUAAAGAUUUUUAUCUUUCUUAUUGGUUCUAAGAUAAGAAUAAUGAUUAAUAGGGACAGUUGGGGGCAUUUGUAUUUAACAGUCAGAGGUGAAAUUCUUAGAUUUGUUAAAGACAAACUAAUGCGAAAGCAUUUGCCAAGGAUGUUUUCAUUACUCAAGAACGAAAGUUAGGGGAUCGAAGACGAUCAGAUACCGUCGGAGACUUAACCAUAAACUAUGCCUCAAAAUAUUUGAUGGAAAUUAUUAACAGAAUCCCACCCACGAGCUAAA